rnacentral:rRNA from 1 species
UACGGAGGGGGCUAGCGUUGUUCGGAAUUACUGGGCGUAAAGGGCGCGUAGGCGGCAAUUCAAGUCAGCUGUGAAAUCUCCGGGCUUAACUCGGAACGGUCAGCUGAUACUGCUUUGCUAGAGUGCAGAAGGGGCAAUCGGAAUUCUUGGUGUAGCGGUGAAAUGCGCAGAUAUCAGGAGGAACACCGGUGGCGAAGGCGGAUCUCUGGGCCGAUACUGACGCUGAGGAGCGAAAGCGUGGGGAGCGAACAGG